rnacentral:tRNA from 1 species
GGGCGGUUAGCUCAGCUGGCUAGAGCGCCUCGCUUACACCGAGGAGGCGCCUCGCUUACACCGAGGAGGUCGUUGGUUCAAGUCCAUCACCGCCCA